AUCAAUUAAACCGUGUAGGACUUUAACAGGAAACACAUCUAAGAAAUCAAUGACACGCGCACAUUUGUCAUUUCACAUCUUUGUGGACCGACACCGCCUCUACCUGCAGUGUCAGCCAAUCAGGACCCGCCACGUCACCGCUCCGAUCUCUGACUGCGCCGUAAUUGGACGAACCCGAGGAAUUUGAACGUCAGAUCAGCGUCUGAUUGGACAAAUUAAAGUAGAAGAAGGGGGAAGAAGUUCCCGUGGUGUACGCGCACACGAGAACGCGCUCGUGCACCGCAUUCCUCAGACCCCGUGUGUCGAUCGAUGAAUAACUAUGAUGAGCAGAGACACCGAGGAUCCAUCAUCGAUCUCCACACGGACACGUGCUCACCAUGGUAAACAUUGAAGAGCCGGUGACAAAGUUUGAUGCCUCCGCAGAUAAAACGUUGAUUAACGGUGAAAACGCUCCGCAGCUCCGGGAUGAAUCCAGACUGAGCUCGGUGCUGGCUCGGUGCUGGCUCGGUGCUGGCUCGGUUCAGCGGCUCGUGCUUCUCUCCGUGUCCUGCUCGGCUCGGCUCGGCUCGGGUCACGGACUCUGCAGAAGUUGCAUCAGUCUCUUGUGUGUUUGUUUAUGUCCACAGCAACUCCUCCUCUUCGGUUUCUCCUUCCUGUCCCGCUGGAAGCACAUAACCCGGUUCAGCUCGGUGUGACCCGGUACAGCACGGUUCAGCCUGCUCCGUGCAUGGGGGCGCAGCUGCAGCCCUGCAGCAGGGGGCGGGGAGCGGAGUCGGUGCUCCGGUUCCCGCUUAUCUAUGCACGCUGCACGCGUGCGUUUCCCCGCGUGGAGUUUUUGAGGAGAACUGCGCGUGCAUGUAUGAAAGGGAGCGGAGACAAAGUGUUCACACGCACGACCAGCCGCUCAUCACGCACCUGAAUCGCGCUCAUCCCGCGCACAGUCCGGCUGCGGCUCAGAGAGAAGGAUGCUCGUUCACACCCUCACACAAAGUCACGUGGAAAAGACACGGACCUUAUGAAAGGCCCGCGCGUGCACGUGAAACCAUCACAUCGUGUUUGACACGUGUCACAGCUCUGAAGUUGCUCCGGACUCUGAAGCUGCACGUGGGACAGAAAGUCUGGACCCAACUCUGGGGACAUUGUCCGCAGGCUACGUCAGUGUAGAGUCACCAGGAGGAGAACCAGUCUUCUGGACAGGAGAUCUUCACUGCUCCGGUUCCACACGUCUCGAUCUGUCCACUUGUUCCAAACUGUUCUGGUGCUGCUCUCACUGACGCCUCUGUUCCUGGGGAACCAGUCAGAGUCCGGCAGGAGGCCUGAGAUGGAGGAAGUCAUGUUUCCGCACCGUGACGAGAACGGUGAGAUCAACGCAGCUUCACAGAUGGUUAGAAAUUCAUCAGGUGUAAUUAAGUGGAUUUGAUUUAGCUCCUGUUCAUUGAAAAAAUAAAAACAAACCUAACUUUCCCAGUUUAGAGCUUUGACCUUUGACCUGUAAUUAUUUUCCUGUAAACUCAGCGCGUCACGAGUUUGUCUUGUGAAGCUUCUGUUUGUUUGAGGCUCUUUCUAAAUAAACGUGAACACUUGUGUUGA